UUGGAGGGCAAGUCUGGUGCCAGCAGCCGCGGUAAUUCCAGCUCCAAUAGCGUAUAUUAAAGUUGUUGCAGUUAAAAAGCUCGUAGUUGAAUUUCGGGAUUGACGUGACGGUCAUGCCUUAAGGGGUAUGAACUGUUACUGUUGAUUUCUCACCUUCUGGAGAAACUUGAUGUCCUUUAUUGGGUGUCUUGCGGAUCCAGGACCUUUACCUUGAAAAAAUUAGAGUGUUUAAAGCAGGCAUUUUUGCUCGAAUACAUUAGCAUGGAAUAAUAGAAUAGGACGGCAUGGCUCUAUUUUGUUGGUUUCUAGGAUCACCGUAAUGAUUAAUAGGGAUAGUUGGGGGCAUUAGUAUUCAAUUGUCAGAGGUGAAAUUCUUGGAUUUAUUGAAGACUAACUACUGCGAAAGCAUUUGCCAAGGAUGUUUUCAUUAAUCAAGAACGAAAGUUAGGGGAUCGAAGACGAUCAGAUACCGUCGUAGUCUUAACCAUAAACUAUGCCGACUAGGAAUCAGACGAUGUUAAUUUUUUAAUGACUCGUUUGGCACCUUACGGGAAACCAAAGUGUUUGGGUUC
rnacentral:rRNA from 1 species